AAUAAAGGAAUGAAAAUCGGCUAGGGGAAAAAAAUAUCACGGCGUUCGGAUCGAUGUUGGCUAGAUCCAGGAGGUUGCAGUAUGUCGAUGCGGAGGCACAUAACAGGUACUGUUUUCAUUCGGCCCACCAUAGCUUGAAUGGUUGGACAGCAAAGGGGGCUACUAUCCAGUCAUUCAAGUCUAUGGUACUGGAGUCUGGUAUCCGGUCUCGCAGCCGACUAUAGUCAAGACCCUU
rnacentral:lncRNA from 1 species